rnacentral:other from 1 species
UUAAGAGUGUUUUCAAUGUUAUCGCACUUCGGACCGAUAAAUUAAAAAAAGGAUUAGGGUUAGUUAUCAUGGUGUGCAGGCCUUUUAAAGAUAAAAGGAAGCCUAAAAUUAUACGACCCGUAUCCACCUACUGAGCGUGGGUUCUGAAGUAGAAACAUGAAAACACUCUGUUU